rnacentral:rRNA from 1 species
GCGUAGUAGGAGGACGGGCGAGUCCCAUCGGAAUCUACUCUGUCGUGGGGGAAAGGAGGGAAACUUACGCUAAUACCGCAUACGACCUACGGGUGAAAGCAGGGGAUCUUCGGACCUUGCGCGAUUGAAUGAGCCGAUGUCGGAUUAGCUAGUUGGCGGGGUAAAGGCCCACCAAGGCGACGAUCCGUAGCUGGUCUGAGAGGAUGAUCAGCCACACUGGAACUGAGACACGGUCCAGACUCCUACGGGAGGCAGCAGUGGGGAAUAUUGGACAAUGGGCGCAAGCCGGGUCCAGCCAUACCGCGUGGGUGAAGAAGGCCUUCGGGUUGUAAAGCCCUUUUGUUGGGAAAGAAAUCCAGCUGGCUAAUACCCGGUUGGGAUGACGGUACCCAAAGAAUAAGCACCGGCUAACUUCGUGCCAGCAGCCGCGGUAAUACGAAGGGUGCAAGCGUUACUCGGAAUUACUGGGCGUAAAGCGUGCGUAGGUGGUCGUUUAAGUCCGUUGUGAAAGCCCUGGGCUCAACCUGGGAACUGCAGUGGAUACUGGGCGACUAGAGUGUGGUAGAGGGUAGCGGAAUUCCUGGUGUAGCAGUGAAAUGCGUAGAGAUCAGGAGGAACAUCCAUGGCGAAUGCAGCUACCUGGACCAACACUGACACUGAGGCACGAAAGCGUGGGGAGCAAACAGGAUUAGAUACCCUGCUAGUCCACGCCCUAAACGAUGCGAACUGGAUGUUGGGUGCAAUUUGGUCCGCAGUAUCGAAAGCUAACCCGUUUAAGUUUCCCCGCCUGGGGGAGUACGGUCGCAAGACUGGAAACUGCAAUUGAAUUGACCGGGGCCCCGCCCAACCGGUGGAGUAUUUGUGUUUUAAUUUUGAUGGCAAGGCGGAGAA